rfam:Triticum aestivum genome assembly, contig: Triticum_aestivum_CS42_TGACv1_scaffold_641238_T_1AL-0.057886_5BL-0.035046
UAAAUACUCCCUUCAUCUGAAUUUUUUUCCUAAAAAUGGAUAAAAUGGAUGUAUCUAUAACUAAAAUAAGUCUAGAUACAACCAUUUUUAGGACAAGUAUUUCCGGAUGGAGGGAGUACCAA